rnacentral:rRNA from 1 species
GACGAACCGUCCAAACGUUAUUCGGAAUCACUGGGCUUAAAGGGCGCGUAGGCGGCCGAGCGGGUCACGGGUGAAAUCCUCCAGCUUAACUGGAGAACUGCCCUUGAUACCACUGCGGCUCGAGGAAGGAAGGGGCAAUGGGAACUGUCGGUGGAGCGGUGAAAUGCGUUGAUAUCGACAGGAACGCCGGUGGCGAAAGCGCAUUGCUGGUCCUUUUCUGACGCUGAGGCGCGAAAGCCAGGGGAGCAAACGGGAUUAGAUACCCCGGUAGUCCUGGCCUUAAACGAUGAGAACUAGGUAGUGGGUCCGACCUGGGCACACUGCCGAAGCGAAAGUUUUAAGUUCUCCGCCUGGGGAGUAUGGUCGCAAGGCUG